rnacentral:rRNA from 1 species
AUGCCGAACACGUCUGUACUAGCAGAUUCGCUGCAGGCCAUGACAACCCAUGGAGAUGCAAAACUGAAAGAUGUGAAGAACAUGAAUUUGUGUAAGUUUAUAGCCAACUUCCUGCACGAUGCAUUCUCAAGCAAGAUGUACCAAAAGGGUUGUCGACUGCAUUUAAUGCUCAUGUAUGUCAACUGUCUUGAUCUAUCCAUCGUGGAUUUCACUGGGACGGGAGGCCCGCGGCCUACGCACAAGUUUGCUGUUUCUGCAUGGACUAUCGAUGCUGUCAAGGCCGUGCUUGCUGCAGACAGGGUAACUGAUACCAAAUAUGGAAAACUGCAGCUGAUGGCCAAGCAUGCUAUAGACUGCAGCGUGUUUGGGGGGCCUCAGAACUUUGUAAAGUGGAUGGACGUGCACUUAGCUCCGUCUUGUCCUACUGAGGCGAGGGCACCUGUUGAGCAUCUAAUUGAGAAGUUUGCAUCCGGAAUGACCGGCUUGCUCAGGAAGUUGGUUGAGGGUUGGACGUCCCUUAACGGCUGUGACAGCGAUGCGGUCGCGAGGUAG